rnacentral:rRNA from 1 species
AAUCAACGCUGGCGGCGUGCCUAACACAUGCAAGUCGAACGAGAAAGGGACUUCGGUCCUGAGUACAGUGGCGCACGGGUGAGUAACACGUGACUAACCUACCCUUGAGUGGGGAAUAACUUCGAGAAAUCGAGGCUAAUACCGCAUAACACCUACGGGUCAAAGGAGCAAUUCGCUUAAGGAGGGGGUCGCGGCAGAUUAGUUAGUUGGCGGGGUAA